rnacentral:rRNA from 14 species
UCGGAAUUACUGGGCGUAAAGCGUACGUAGGCGGAUCAGAAAGUAGGGGGUGAAAUCCCGAGGCUCAACCUCGGAACUGCCUCCUAAACUCCUGGUCUUGAGUUCGAGAGAGGUGAGUGGAAUUCCAAGUGUAGAGGUGAAAUUCGUAGAUAUUUGGAGGAACACCAGUGGCGAAGGCGGCUCACUGGCUCGAUACUGACGCUGAGGUACGAAAGUGUGGGGAGCAAAC